UACGGGGGGUGCAAGCGUUGGUCGGAAUUACUGGGCGUAAAGGGCUUGUAGGUGGCCAACUAAGUCAGACGUGAAAUCCCUCAGCUUAACUGGGGAACUGCUUCUGAUACUGGAUGGCUUGAGUUUGGGAGAGGGAUGCGGAAUUCCAGGUGUAGCGGUGAAAUGCGUAGAUAUCUGGAGGAACACCGGUGGCGAAGGCGGCAUCCUGGACCAACACUGACACUGAAAAGCGAAAGCCAGGGGAGCAAACGGG
rnacentral:rRNA from 1 species